rnacentral:rRNA from 1 species
UACGGGGGGGCAAGCGUUGUUCGGAAUUACUGGGCGUAAAGGGCUCGUAGGUGGCCAACUAAGUCAGACGUGAAAUCCCUCGGCUUAACCGGGGAACUGCGUCUGAUACUGGAUGGCUUGAGUUCGGGAGAGGGAUGCGGAAUUCCAGGUGUAGCGGUGAAAUGCGUAGAUAUCUGGAGGAACACCGGUGGCGAAGGCGGCAUCCUGGACCGACACUGACACUGAGGAGCGAAAGCCAGGGAGGCAAACGG